GCUGAAUCCUUGCAGCCUCUGGACAGAUGUGAGAAGGCACCACCUCAAGAGGGGAGGAGCGGGCCUGAUCCUGGUCGGGCGGACCUAAGUCGGGCAGCCGCUCUCCCGGAACUGGAAGGGAAAGCCAGGCGGCUCUCAGGGGCUGUUGGUGUCUGAGCCGGGAGGGUCGAACGCCCAGGGCACUGCGCCCCGCAACUGACGCUCCUGCAAGGAAAAGCUCUGGGUGCGUAUGCGGCUUGUCACCUCCUGGGUGCGCAGCGUGAGCCCGAAAAUGUCUUCGUGGUAGCGUUGCUGAUCCUGUCGGAAAAGAGCACAGUGGAUCAGAACCCGACUCAGAGACCUUAGCAGGAACCCCGCACGCUCAGGCCCGGCCCGCCCCUCCGCACCCGCAGCACGCCGAUGACGUCGCCGGCCUCGUCCAGCUCCAUGUCGCCCUCCGUCGCCAGGAUGCGCUGCACGGUCUGCAGGACGUUGGUUGCCAUGGUGACAUCGCCGCAGACAAACAUGUGGCCCCGCUCGAGGCACAGCACGCGGUGCACCUCCGCAGCCAGCUCCGUCCUCAGGAUGUCCUGCACGUUACCAUUGCGCCCUCAGAGUCUCACACCUUGGGGUUGUCAGGUUCCCGGGAGAAGGCGGUGAGGACUCGGCCAAACACCCCGCGCUGCUGGGCGUUCUGCACCUCGUCGCGG
rnacentral:sRNA from 1 species